GCUCGAUUCGUCUAGUGGCCUAGGACACCGCCCUCUCACGGCGGGAACAGGGGUUCGACUCCCCUAUCGGGUACCA
rnacentral:tRNA from 1 species